AUGUUCUUGGAGCUACUCAAUAACUGGGAUACCCAGUAUAGCUGGGGUUCGGCCGCACUAGCAUAUUUGUAUCAUCAGCUUGACUUGGCGUGUGGGAGGAAGGGAGAUACAUCCUCAUUGUCUGGGUUUGUUUGGAGCCUAUCCGUGUGGAUGUGGGAGCGGAUCCCGGUUGGACGGCCCGAUUUCAAGAACCCCCUCAUGGCAAACCCACGGGGUAAUCAUGAUGGGUUGCAUGAUGAUGAUCCAUAUCGGCGCCCUACGCUUGCUUACUAUUGGGAACAAGUGACAGUCUACACAGGAAGCUCGCAUGUGUGA
rnacentral:rRNA from 1 species